rnacentral:rRNA from 1 species
AGAAUCAACGCUGGCGGCGUGCCUAACACAUGCAAGUCGCACGAGAAAGUGGAGCAGUCCACGAGUAAAGUGGCGCACGGGUGAGUAACACGUGAAUAAUCUACCUCCGAGUGGGGAAUAACUGAGAGAAAUCUUAGCUAAUACCGCAUAAUACCCACGGGUCAAAGCAGCAAUGCGCUUGGAGAGGAGUUCGCGGCCGAUUAGCUAGUUGGCGGGGUAAUGGCCCACCAAGGCGAUGAUCGGUA